UAAUGUAACACUUCUUACGGAAACCUCCAGUUGAGCAACAGUUCCAGAAAAAAUUGUGAAAUGAAGUAAAAAGCUGCCCAGAACACCACACUUCCACUCAGUUAAUUCAAAAAAAUUAAGUUCCAGAACUAGGCAGAAAGUCAAGACCUCACUUUCAGCAAAGUAGAAGCGGCACAUUUUUAAACGCAGCCCGUUUGGAAUAACUCCGGAAUAGCAACCAUCACUGGGAAGUUAUUGAAUACCAUCAUCCCCUGGCCAGCAACUUGUGCCACACGCAGACCUCAUGACAGAGCGACGACAAAAAUGCCAGGGCUAAUUUCCACAGCGCGUUGCAUCAACCCAGGCAGCAAACCCAGUAAGGAAUGUGUCAGGGACUACGAGAACGUUCCCAUUCCUUGUGUUUCUAUGUGAAAUGCAUUUCUAGCCACACCCAGAAAGAACUUGUCUCUCCCGACAGUACACACUGGGCACCGAUUUGCUUCCUCAAGAUUUCAGAGUGUGCAUCUGAGGACUUAGGCUGCGCGUCGCAAAGUUUCCCUCGGCAACUGCUAAAAUAAUUCACAAGGCACUGCAGCAUGGCAGCAGCUAUCAGCUUUGGAAGGCUUUGGAAUGUGCCCUUCUAUUAUUACAAAUACUGGCUGCAUCAGAUUGGGUCCUAACUGCUCAUCCAUCGAUUGGCUUAGGUAAGAGUGCCCUUGUUUAAAGCCUCAGAAACUGCUGAGGAACCAGCAAAACAGAGGAACAACAUUAAAUCUCAUGGUGAGUCACUGUGAAUGUAGGUCAGCCCAGGCCCUGCCCUUUGCUGAGCUCUCAGAGGGUUGGCUCCAGGUUACCUGAAAGAGCCCCAGCCCCAACAGACCCCCCCACAACAAAAAAAAAGUUUGUGUUCCUCUGCUAUACAGCUUUGCCACUUCCAUGGGGAGUUUAGAGAAGAUGAACACUUUCUUAGCAACUGAGCCACAACCAAGAGCUGAGAAAGGACAGGACAGAAAACACAAACCAAGUCACCUUGCAAGUAAAAUACACGACCUGUUUGUUUAACCCAAUUUGUGCCAAAUAACAUUAUAGAUCCACUCAAUCUCAGCCACUUGAGUCUCACAAUCAAUGUUCUAAGAGCAGAAGAGGGAGGGUGAUGUAUCUGCUCUGAUUCAUACCUAGAGGAGACCCUCUCCUGUAACAGUCAGAGGUUCUACAUAAUGAGGUAGGCAGAGAGAACUCUGAAUUGAUUAUUAAUUAAGCUGCUUGAUCACCUCCUUGGAAAAUGUAUGACCAAAUGUUGAUGCAUAGAAAGUAAUUUACAUAAUCAAGUCUGAAUUUGACAUAAUGCAGUACAAAACUACCUUAAUAAAUGGAAAUUUUAAAAAAUCACACUCUGACUCUUGAUACAAAAAAAAGAGUACUUCCCAUGCAAAUAAUGAGAUGGGAGGAAAUGUCCUUGGCAAGUCAAUUUGUUCCAUGCUGCUGAUGGUUCCUGUUAGUGACAAGGAUUUUUUUUUCAAGAAGGAAACAAUGGAAAACAAAUGCAAAAGCAUUUACCAGAAGGCCAGGCAAUGGCAGCUUUUCCAAAAUGUCAAGUGUGCAGAAUAGAGUCAAUUUAAAAGAGAAUUAAUUAUUUAAACUGAAUUAAUGUGACUACAAUGAAGCCCUGUUAAACCAUCUCAUCCAUCCUGCUUCCAACUGUGCUACCCCUUACAGUCUAAGUCUAAAUACUGUGACCUCAAUUUUCAAGCACUUCAAACAAAAACUCUCUUACCCGGUCAUAGCACCAAUAUAUUGCUUUUUAAAUAUAUUUACUGCAUCUCUACCAGGAACUCACCCACAGAAUUGUGCUCACCUUCUCCACACUCCUAACUCAUACGAACUUGACCUCUGGUUCCCCUUUUUCCCUCUUCCUCUUUCAUCUUCAUACUUCCUGUGUUUUCCCAGAUGCUUCAGGCAACUUCUAUCACUGCAUUCUUCAGAUUAUCCUUUGCCUGCAAGUCUGCCCUUUGCAUACAGGCCUGGUGUCUUAAUUUCAACACUUUUUUGUUUCAUGCAUUGUCUUGUCCUUGCAUGCCUUUGGGGACAGGAAGGUGACUGAAUUUUAGGUCUCUAGCUUUCAUAUGGAAGCUCAUUUUCUCAGAAGUAUGUCCACACCUACUUCCCUGGGAACCUACUGUCCCAAAAGUCUUCAGUUCCUCCUGGACUAUGGGCCAUGAUGUUGCAGUACACUGAAUAUCACCCCUAGAAGGGAUACCCUGUGCCACUCUCUGCAUUUUCCAGGUCAACACGAAUUUGCAAUGCAAUCAACAGUCUAAAGGUGCAAUAAUGGUUACCUAGUGCUCCUUUUCCUGAAUAAUGUUACAUGAAAUGUGGCAGACACCAACACAGCCACUGUUCCUCUUUUGUAUCCCACAGGAAUAUCUAUAACCAUGUCUACCAGUGAUAAGUCAAAACUGUCACUUUUGGUUUCCAGUUUCAAUAUGGGCAAAGGAACCAUUCCAAAUCCAUCCUUUUCUGCUACCCUUUAAAGCAAAACAUCUGGGCUAGAAUUUACAUAAAAUAAAUUCCUUUAUUCUAUUUCAUGGAGGAAAAGAACUCUUAUCUAAUAACUAAUGAACUUAAUUGCCCUGGGUCUUGACUGUAUUGGGAAUGCAUAUUAAUUUAAAUGCAUCAGUGUAAAAAUCAGUCUCAUUAAACUAUCUCAAAGCCCUAGAAUAGAUGGAGCACGGCAUUAACACUUGCAUGUAGUCAUUCAUAUUAAAGUUAUAAUUUACAGGAGCUCAUAAUGAAUAUAAACAGGAACUAAAACUGAGCUGAGGUGCAAUAAAAAGGAUUAGUGGCAGUGAUAUUUAAAUUGACAGUUAAAAACUCUUCUGGAGCACUUUCAAGGCCUUGGAGAAAUACAGUUGGUUGGAUAUACUAUUCUUUAUUUCAUGGUGUACUAGAAACAAUGUAUAAAACAUGAGCACACCGAGGCCAAAUGAACAUCUUCACUGCAGAAACGUGUUUCUUAAGUUAUUUUAUAAUUUAAAAUGUCAUCUUCGUGUCGUGCGAGGGGAACGACUGAUGUACAUACGGAAAAUUGCGAGCGAGUUCUUAGAAACCAUACUGUUUUCUUGAUCAUUCAUAGCCAAACACAUAAAGAUCCUUCAGCGUAUCACUACAGCACAGCUUGUACGAGAUCUCCAUAGCUACCCCUGGCACAACAAGCACAAAACCCAAGUGCCUUUGCAGGGCUGAUAAGCAGACAGGAAGCAAGGGAACAUCUGCUACAGCUUUAGAUGGUUUUGCCUUCAGUAACCACUGAAGCUCUGCAUUCCACGUCCUGCUCGCUUGGCCUUUGACACCACCAGCUGUUGGACAGGAGAUGUAAAAUGUUACACCUACAGAAAGGGAGGUGCAUUAUUUUCUAAAGGACCACUGGGAUAUUUAAUGGCAUUUUUUCUUUCCGUUCUCUGAUGGCUGGAAACGCUGGAUAGCAGAAUCUGCAUAUGGAGUUACUUCCUGAAAGUCAACCACUUCCUAUUUAACAAUUUUUUUUUAUGUUCUGUUUUCCUUUCCAAACCUGCUUUGUUUUGUUUUGUUUUGUUUUGUUCUGUUUUAAACACCAAAAACAAUUGCCCCAUAUACUGAAUAGUAAUUAUAUUCAUCAUAAUCAUUGUAAGGAAGCCAUGUGCUUCCCUGGAUCAGGGCUGGGGCUUCCAGCCCAGGCAAUCUGUCUUCUUGGAGCAUAACAGCAUUUCUGUAGCAUGGACAGCCAAGGAACAGAGUUACACAAAAUAAAUAUCAAACAAUUUAGUGCAAACCCUUUCUUUGUUUAAAGAAAGAGCUAUUGAACAUGUUGUAUAAAGGAGCUUGGCCAAAUAAUGCAGAUUCUCUGCUCGCGUGUGUGUGGAGAAUCUGCUCCAGAUAGUUCAGCAGUUCUCCACCACCAUGGCAUUUUCAUUUGCAUGGAAAACUACUAACAGAGAACAACUGACAGCAGCAUAUUUUUAGGAUAUUGAGGCCCAUGCAUCUUUAUGUACUUCCUCUGAGAUUGUAAUUUUCUCUAGGAGAUUGCAACAGUUGUGACGAAAUCGGAUUUAGCCAUGUAUGGUAGAUCCUAUGGCUCUGACACAAUGAGAGGAAAAGGGGCUCAGAGUAACAAGAAAGAGGAAGACACUACUCCAGACUUAUGUAAAUGUAACUGAGAAGAGAAUUUUACCCAGAAAUUCUGUAUUCUGUGCUUUGUAGUUCUAUACAUUUUUUAAUAUGUUCUAUUCUUAAACUGCAGAUGGAUGUUGUUUUGCCAGAAAAUAAAUGAAACACAAAGCUGAC